UAUUUUCUUUCUGUAAAGAAUGUUUUUAUCUUAAACUUUAAAAAUUCAUAUCUUUUGAUGCAAAUGUUCAAUUUUUUCAAAUUUUUAUUUAACAUAGAUUCUAUUCUUAAGCUUUACUACAAAAAAAAUGAAUUUUAAAUCUAUUACCGAUCUUUUGGCAUCUUUGAAAUCCUAGUAGGUGCUUUAAAUCCAAAUUUAUUAAUAUCCAAAAAAAAAAAAAUUAUAUCUCAAAAACCCAAAAUUCAAAUGCCACAAAUCUUAUGUUUGAAGUUUAGUAACAUGAAAAUACACCUUUUUAGAAAUUUUUAAUCAAAAUCUUAUCAAAUUGCAUAAGAUAUAAUUU
rnacentral:lncRNA from 1 species